AUUGAACGCUGGCGGCAGGCCUAACACAUGCAAGUCGAGCGGAUGAAGGGAGCUUGCUCCUGGAUUCAGCGGCGGACGGGUGAGUAAUGCCUAGGAAUCUGCCUGGUAUUGGGGGAUAACGUCCGGAAACGGGCGCUAAUACCGCAUACGUCCUGAGGGAGAAAGUGGGGGAUCUUCGGACCUCACGCUAUCAGAUGAGCCUAGGUCGGAUUAGCUAGUUGGUGGGGUAAAGGCCUACCAAGGCGACGAUCCGUAACUGGUCUGAGAGGAUGACCAGUCACACUGGAACUGAGACACGGUCCAGACUCCUACGGGAGGCAGCAGUGGGGAAUAUUGGACAAUGGGCGAAAGCCUGAUCCAGCCAUGCCGCGUGUGUGAAGAAGGUCUUCGGAUUGUAAAGCACUUUAAGUUGGGAGGAAGGGCAGUAAGUUAAUACCUUGCUGUUUUGACGUUACCAACAGAAUAAGCACCGGCUAACUUCGUG
rnacentral:rRNA from 1 species